rnacentral:rRNA from 1 species
AGAGUUUGAUCCUGGCUCAGGAUGAACGCUAGCGGCAGGCCUAAUACAUGCAAGUCGAACGGCAGCAGGCUGUAGCAAUACAGUGCUGGCGAGUGGCGCACGGGUGCAUAACACGUAUGUAAUUUGCCCAUAACUGGGGGAUAGCCCUCCGAAAGGAGGAUUAAUACCCCAUAACCCAGCGAAGUGGCAUCACUUUUCUGGUAAAACUCCGGUGGUUAUGGAUAAGCAUGCAUCUGAUUAGCUAGUUGGUGAGGUAACGGCUCACCAAGGCAACGAUCAGUAGGGGGUCUGAGAGGAUGAUCCCCCACACGGGUACUGAGACACGGACCCGACUCCUACGGGAGGCAGCAGUAAGGAAUAUUGGACAAUGGAGGCAACUCUGAUCCAGCCAUGCCGCGUGAAGGAUGAAGGCGCUACGCGUUGUAAACUUCUUUUCUACUAGAAAAAACAUUUGGUUUCGUACCGAAUCUGAUUGUACAGUAGGAAUAAGCAUCGGCUAACUUCGUGCCAGCAGCCGCGGUAAUACGAAGGAUGCAAGCGUUAUCCGGAUUCACUGGGUUUAAAGGGUGUGCAGGUGGGGUAAUAAGUCAGUGGUGAAAGCCCCCGACUCAAUCGGGGAACUGCCAUAGAUACUGUUAUUCUUGAGUGUGGUUGAGGUGGGCGGAAUAUGACAUGUAGCGGUGAAAUGCGUAGAUAUGUCAUAGAACACCGAUCGCGAAGGCAGCUCGCCAAACCAUUACUGACACUGAAACACGAAAGUGCGGGGAUCAAACAGGAUUAGAUACCCUGGUAGUCC